ACUAUAAAACUUUGACCUAGUGAUUAGUCACGUGAUCUAUAUACUUAGAUGUUAUAAUGAGCUAACCGGCGCCAGUGAUUGCAUAAAUAUAUAAAAAAUUAUAAUUACUUGUUAUUAUUUAUACAUGCAAAUAUUUUGGAAUGAUAACAAAUUGGAAUAAAAAAUACUUUGAUAAAUUUAAUUUAUUAGACAUAUCAUAACAUAAACACUGUGACAACGAAGAGGUGUGAAUCAUCCCAACACUGUAAGGCGUAUUCUUAACCUUGUAGACGACUAUCUGAACCUCAUUGAGUUUAUUUUUUAGUAUGUUGCGUAAUAAUUUUUGAACUUAUAGUUUUAAUAUUAUGUCGGUAUCUAUUAAAAAUAUAUAAUUGGUGAUUAAAAUCCCUUAUGCGAUCCCAAUUCUAAGUGUGUUAAAUAAAUGUUUUAGACAUGGGCGAGGCCACAUUAUUCCGAGUCAGACUCUUCUCCAAAGACACGUAAUGGAACAUUGUACUAAAUGGAAGUCAAUACAGUACUGGAUGAUCACCAGGCUCAGUAUUCUCAUGUCCUCGCUUGGAGCGAUAUCGAUGUCGGUGUAUCGAAGAGAUCGAAAUUCAUUUUUGUUUCGAUUCUCAUGCCCUCUGCUCGUAAUAGGAACGCUCCUGCCAAAGAGAAGUGAUUUAUUUCAUUCGCAUUCGCAUAUACGAGGCGUAUUUUUUAAGUAAGUACCGUUUUACGAUUCCGCCGCCGCAACCCCAAGGUCAGCGUUCCGCACAUGCGCGCUGGUUACCUACAUCUCUUGUCUACGCACUGACGCCAUUAGAGUCUGAUUCUUCCAUGUGUACAUUGUUUACUGAGUGCUUAAGAUGCCUCCGACAAUCGUGAGUCCCGCGGAUUGUGAAAUACGGGCUGUUAUACGAUUUAUUAGUGCUAAAGGCGUAAAACCGAUCGAUAUUCAUCGUGAGAUCUGUGAAGAAGAAGAAGCAACAAUCCAUGGAAUGGCGAUAUUCAUCAUCACCCAAAAAAAGUGAAGUUUAAGCAAACAACUUCUGCCCGAAAAAUCAUGUGCCCAUUUUUUUGGGACAGAAAAGGAGUAUUGCUAGUGGAGUUUCGGCCUCGUAAUGAGACAAUCAAUGCAGCGUCUUAUUGUGUGACAUUGAACAAUCUGCGUCAUGCAAUCCAGAUCAAAAAACGUGGCAAGUUGAGUAAGGGUAUCGUUUUGAUGCAUGAUAAUGCCCGUCCACAUGUGGCUAAUCGGACCAAAGAUCUCAUCCAAUCUUUUCAAUGGGAAACUCUAGAUCAUCCUCCCUACAGCCCUGAUCCGGCGCCCAGCCACUACCAUUUGUUCCUGCACUUGAAGAAACACCUGGGCGGUCAGCGUCUUCAAGACGAUAACGAAGUCAAAACAGUUGUGAUACAGUAUUUCAUAAGGAGGGUAUUCAAAAACUGAUGCCACGUUAUGGCAAGUGCCUCAAUAUUCACGGAAAUUAUGUAGAAAAGUAGAUUAAGGUACAGGCUUUCAUGUAAAAAUAGAAUUAUUGCGAUAUCUUUGCACUUCUUUUUUUAAUUCCAAAACGGUACUUACUUAGAAAAUAUGCCUCGUAUAUAGACAAUUCUAAGCUAUCAUUUUUAUUGAAAUUAUAAUUGUAAAAUUCUAAUGGCUUGUUGUGGACAAUUCCUUGAAAUGGGAGUUACAUAUUGCGCUUUAUCUAAAAAAAUUAAGUUCCUCCUGUUUUGAGCUGAGAUCAGUUUCCAAAGAACUGAACUUAUCCUCCUCCUUAACAGUCUAUUAUGCCCUUAUCGAGUCGCAUCUCCGAUAUGCCCUUUCCUUUCUGGGGUACGUGUGGUACGACUCAAUUUGAGCGAAUCUUAAAACUACAAAAGAGAGCUGCUAGAUAUUUACUCGGAUUGAACAGUAAAGCUCAUUACAGGGACUUCUUUAAAAGAUUAAAAAUUCUGACUCAUCUAUCCAUUUAGGAACCUACUCCACGUUCAGAAUUAGUUGAGGGCUCUAUAUUUUACAAUGCAAAAAAUGCACAAUCACUUGCCAAUUGAAAUCAAAUCGAUAUCAUCUUUUCCCGCAUCCCGCAUUUAUUGGAGGGCAUAUUUAUCGGAAAGUGCCUUCUACUUUAUAAACGACUUCUAUUCUAAUAAUAUUAUUUAAUUCCGGGCAUGCUGCAUACUGGUCUAAUUUUGCUAUGGACUUUAUACUUAUUAUUACCUAUAAUUUUGUUACUCCUUUUGGUUUUCUUAUGUAUUUGGAAAUUUUAUUUUAUUUGUAUCUUGAUUUAAUUAUUUUUACGAUUGUUUUUUAGUUUUUACAAGCUUUUAUCUAUAAAUUGUAACAAUUUUUUGACAAUAAAGGAUUUCUCUCUAA